rnacentral:rRNA from 1 species
UACGGAAGGCAGCAGUGGGGAAGUAUUGCACAAUGGGCGAAAGCCUGAUGCAGCUAUGCCGCGUGUAUGAAGAAGGCCUUAGGGUUGUAAAGUACUUUCAUCGGGGAGGAAAAAACAAAACUAAUAAUUUUAUUUCUUGACGUUACCCGAAAAAGAAGCACCGGCUAACUCCGUGCCAGCAGCCGCGGUAAUACGGAGGGUGCUAGCGUUAAUCAGAAUUACUGGGCGUAAAGAGCACGUAGGUGGUUUUUUAAGUUCAGAUGUGAAAUCCCUGGGCUUUAACCUAGGAACUGCAUUUUGAAACUGAAAUACUAGAGUAUCGUAGAGGGAGGUAGAAUUCUAGGUGUAGCGGUGAAAUGCGUAGAUAUCUGGAGGAAUACCUGUGGCGAAAGCGGCCUCCUAAACGAAUACUGACACUGAGGGUGCGGAAAGCGUGGGGAGCAAACAGGGAUUAGAUACC